ensembl:lncRNA
CCCCCCCCCCCCGUUGCAGGCGUAUCAACCAAACAACUUGCGUUGAUGUUAGAUUUAAAUGAAAUGGAAACAUUGUGAACUGGGGGUGUGGUUUAUUUCAUUAACAAGCGGUCAAAAUCCGAGACAGAAAACAUAAAGCAUUAAAAAAUGAUUUUGGGUGACUUUUUUUUAAUACAAAGUUUACAAGCAUGACUAGGAAAUAUUUCUACUUUCAGCUCAUACAGGACAGCGCAGAGUGUUUGUUGUGAUUGUUGCAGCCAAAAAUGCUUAUUUUGUGGCGGCUUGUUUCUAAAUUUACGAUGCAGCUUGUGGAGGUUUUUGUGCUUUUUUUUUUAUUAUUAUUUUUUUUUUGCGGAAGACUACUUUGAAUUGCAAUCGCGCAGUGAUGUUUGUUGGUAAAGGAGCCCCUUUCAGCUGUUCUCGUGUUCGACACGCAUGAAUCGAAGAGGGCUUUGGCAGAAUGAGCGUUGCGAUGACGUCACAUGAUGCGUCUUGGCCCAAAUCUGUGGAAAAAUCUGCGGUAGUUUUGACAGAUUUGCACAUGUCUCCGAAUAUUACGCAGUUUGCUGGAUUUUGCGUUAAAUUCUGCGAUCGCAAGAUCCCAUAAUCCGUGAGGGACUGUAGGGGCUGAAGUACUUUGGUAUAAAAUCCUAAAACAUUGGUCAUCAACUGGCAGAGCAGGAGCCGGAUGCUGACCCAGCAUCCUAUUUCAGCGGAUCAGACCAUGUACUGUACACGAAAAAAAUACCAAUCAACACUUUAAAAAAAAAUAAUAAUAAUAAAAAUAAAAAAAAAAGUUUUUAAAAAAUGACCGCAGCGACUCUAAAUCUGUCUGUAACAGAUCCCCUAUAGAUGCCAAUCAUGUGUUUAUGCAAAUUAUUCAUCUGAAGGCAACCACUCAUAGCAGAGUCUAGCUGCAGGACAAAAUCUAGCUUAACAAUGAAAACAGAUUGUAUAAACACAAAUGGACAAAUAAGUAUGUGUCAAAUUCAAAACAGACACGUGCAGUCACGUUAUGUGUUUAUCUAAAAAAAAAAAUUAAGCAAGGAAUUUCAUGUAGCUGGACUUGUAGCUCCAAAACAACACAUUACGAGCUAGUGUUGGACAGACGAGCAAAAUGACACGACAGGAGUUUGUUAGCCUGUCAAUCAAAUAAGCCACACCCCUAGGUCAUUGUGAAAAGAGGAGAUGCAUCUUUUAAGGGGAGAACUUUCCUUUUGUUUAGCCUCAGAAAUGAUCACAAUAAUGGAUAACGAUUCAGAUCAUGGGUUUCCAUCACAUUUUUAAUUUCAGUGUUGCAGCAUGACUGUUUCACAGAUUUAUUUCGUUUUGUUUUUAAUUAUUAUUAUUUAGACUUUAAACACAUUCAAGUAAUAUAACAUGUAUAUAUUGAAAUCGUGUAAGUGUUUUUGACAUUUAUUUAUUUAUUUAAUUGUGUAUCAGCUUUCUUUAUGAAAUUCGGCCAUUUGGUCAACCAAGAAAAAAAAUAAUUGCUUUGGAAGAUACACUAGAAAAAGAACUUUGUUUAGACUCAAUGAUGGAUAAUAAACUUAUCCAUGAUAAUAAAGAUCACGGGGGGGGCGGUUUCUUUUUGUUUUUAAUAAAAGUCCUUAGUAAUAUAUAGUGAAAAAGCUUUUAUUUGAGAUGCAAAUUAUUUUUAAGUUCGUUGUUUUUGAUAUUAUUUCUAUAAAUUUCUCUUAUAAAAAUCAGCCUUUUUGGUCAACCAAAACUGCAAAAAAAAAAAAAAAAAAAAAAAAUGAUAGCAAGCGCAUGAACACAGUCUAAUGUUUCCCAUUAAUUUGAUUAGACUCCAAUUAUUAUUAUUAUUGCUAUAGCGAUUAUUAUACAAUGAAUACAAGACAAUGACACCUGUUUCUAGACGUGUUCACUCAUUUCAAUCUUCUUCUAUUGGCAGAGAAUUUUGCUUCUUUUUCGAAAUAAACACCUGAAAUAAGCCAAAUGAUCUGCCAGUAGAAUAAGACAAUCAGUUUGAAAUGAGUAAAAAAUAUCUCAAAUAUGCUUAAAUCUCUUACAUUUAACAAUCAAAUAAAGAAAAAGAAAAUAUUAGUUGAAUUGACCUUAUGUUACUAAGAUAUCAUGUAAAUAUGUGUCACAAAUCUGUGUGUGGUAAAAUCAGACAUGUAUCUAGUAAAAACAAAUCCAGACGGGGUGGAAUUGAACUAAAAGUUAAGGGCUUAAAUCACUUAUUUCGGUUAUUCCGAGACCAGUGAGUCUCCUUGACCGUAAACACUUCUGAGUGUCUCGCUCUGUCUCCUGCAGCCUUUACAAUAUGUUGCUAUUGCAGGAGAAGUGUGUGGUCUGUGUGUGUCUGUGUGUGUCUGUUG